GUUAAUCAGGUGUUGUUAUGGCAUAUAGAUUUUUCGUGUCUGUGGAGUUAAUUAGUAGAUUAACGAUUAAUG
rnacentral:tRNA from 1 species